rnacentral:rRNA from 1 species
AGAGCGAACGCUGGCGGCGUGCUUAACACAUGCAAGUCGAGUGCGCGCCUGUAGCAAUACAGGUGGCGCACGGCGCACGGGUGCGUAACACGUGGGUAAUCUGCCCUUCGAUGGGGAAUAACCUCGCGAAAGCGAGGCUAAUUCCGCAUAACAUUCCGAUGGUUCCGAUCAAUGGACUCAAAGCCGUAAGGCGUCGGAGGAGGAGCCCGCGCACGAUUAGCUAGUUGGUGAGGUAACGGCUCACCAAGGCUUUGAUCGUUAGC